GACAGUUACAGCUCUUUUAGAAUUUGUCUAGCAGGCUUUCUGGUUUUUAUCAGAAAGCCUCC
ensembl:snRNA RNU7-20P RNA, U7 small nuclear 20 pseudogene